ACCAAGCAGGAUAGCUCAGCCAAUAAGAGCAUGAGACUCUUAAUCUCAUGGUCAUGGGUUCCAGCCCUACAUUGGGUA